rnacentral:lncRNA from 1 species
GUACCUUUUGCUUCCUUUGUAAGUCGCUUUCAUCAUUUGGUGGAUUUUUCACAACGAUUUCAAAGAUGAUUCUAUGAUGAAGUCAUUAAGAAUGUGAUGAGAUGCACUUUGGACAGCAAAAGCCUGCAGGCUGGUUUACAGUGGAUGAUGAAGGUUAUGCUGGGAAAUUGGAACCUCCUCCAAAGAAUUCAUGAGUAUUGCUACUUGAAUAAU